CGAACGCUGGCGGCGUGCUUAACACAUGCAAGUCGAACGGAAAGGCCUGCUUUCCCUUGUGGAUUGCGGGUACUCGAGUGGCGAACGGGUGAGUAACACGUGAGUGAUCUGCCCCCAACUUGGGUAUAAGCCUGGGAAACUGGGUCUAAUUCCCGAUAGGACUGCAGGGUGGUGCCCGUGGUGGAAAACGAUUUUCUAGUGGUUGGGGAUGAGCUCGCGGCCUAUCAGCUUGUUGGUGGGGUAAUGGCCUACCAAGGCGGCGACGGGUAGCCGGCCUGAGGGGGUGGACCGGCAACUUGGGACUGGGGUACGGGCCCGGAUCCUACGGGGGGCCGGAGUGGGGAAUAAUGCACCAUGGGCGGGAGCCUGGUGGCGGGACGCCGCGUUGGGGAUGACGGCCUUCGGGUUGUAAACUCCUUUCGACCGCGAGGAAGCCACCUGGUUGGAAGGGUGGUGACGGUAGUGGUAGAAGAAGCACCGGCUAACUACGUG
rnacentral:rRNA from 1 species